rnacentral:rRNA from 1 species
AUACGGAGGGUGCGAGCGUUGUUCGGAAUUACUGGGCGUAAAGCGCGCGCAGGCGGAUGUGCAAGUCGAAGGUGAAAUCCCGGGGCUCAACCCCGGGACUGCUCUCGAUACUGCAUGUCUAGGGACCGGUAGAGGUCGGUGGAAUUCCCGGUGUAGCGGUGGAAUGCGUAGAUAUCGGGAGGAACACCUGUGGCGAAGGCGGCCGACUGGGCCGGAUCCGACGCUGAGGCGCGAAAGCGUGGGGAGCAAACAGGAUUAGAUACCCUGGUAGUCCACGCCGUAAACGAUGGGUGCUAGAUGCUGGGGGGAGCGACCCCUUCGGUGUCGUAGCUAACGCAUUAAGCACCCCGCCUGGGGAGUACGGCCGCAAGGCUGAA